rnacentral:ncRNA from 1 species
AAGUAGAGGCGCGGCAAUCAUGAGUCGCAUCGCCGAGGCACUGACAGCCGGAGAGGGGAUGUAAAAGGGAAAGCCGCCGAAGUGGAUCCGAAGGUCAGAGCGGAUUCGCUGGGCCUGUAGUGAAGAACUGCAGGACUGUCACCGGAGUGGGAUAGAUCCGGUGGAGUGCUACUU